rnacentral:rRNA from 1 species
GACGAACGCUGGCGGCGUGCCUAAUACAUGCAAGUAGGACGCAGUUGCGAACGGGUGAGUAACGCGUAGGUAACUACCUCCUAGAGGGGGAUAACUAUUGGAAAAGAUAGCUAAUACCGCAUACUCGUAGAUGGACCUGCGGUGUAUUAGCUAGUAGGUAGGGUAAUGGCCUACCUAGGCAACGAGACAUAGUCGACCUGAGGGGGGGAUAGGCCACAGUUGGAAGGAGACAAGGCCCAGAGCCCUACAGGAGGCAGCAGUAGGGGAGCUGCGGGAAUGGGGGGAAACGGGACCCGGCAACGCCGCGGGAGUUAAGAAAGGUUUUGGAACGUAAAGCUUCGGUGUUAAGGAAGCGGUAUCUAACCAGAAAGGGACGGCUAACUACGUGCCAGCAGCCGCGGUAAUAC